rnacentral:rRNA from 1 species
CCUACGGGAGGCUGCAGUGGGGAAUAUUGGACAAUGGGGGGAACCCUGAUCCAGCGACGCCGCGUGAGUGAAGAAGUAUUUCGGUAUGUAAAGCUCUAUCAGCAGGGAAGAAAGAAAUGACGGUACCUGACUAAGAAGCCCCGGCUAACUACGUGCCAGCAGCCGCGGUAAUACGUAGGGGGCAAGCGUUAUCCGGAUUUACUGGGUGUAAAGGGAGCGUAGACGGCGAUGCAAGUCUGAAGUGAAAGGCGGGGGCGCAACCCCCGGACUGCUUUGGAAACUGUAUGGCUGGAGUGCAGGAGAGGUAAGUGGAAGUCCUAGUGUAGCGGUGAAAUGCGUAGAUAUUAGGAGGAACACCAGUGGCGAAGGCGGCUUACUGGACUGUAACUGACGUUGAGGCUCGAAAGCGUGGGGAGCAAACAGGAUUAGAUACCCGUGUAGUC